UCGAUGCCUUGAUGGUCACGCGCUGUACUGGAGCGGAGGAAGUCACCAUGGAAACGGGGCUCAGCUCAACCGUCAAGCAGCUGCAGACGCUGUCUCUCGUGGUUGUUUUCACUCAUUUCAGAAAUGGUCAGGGUCUUCAGAAAAAGUCCAUUAGCAUCUCAACUGUAAUGCUAACUACAAGAGAUUCUUCCAUGCUGAUGGCCGUGCGUGUAUCCAGCUGAAGAACAUUUUUAGACAUUAUGACACAUAUAACUAAGUUUAGCUCCAACCCCAGUUAAGCAGAGCUGAGCAGCUGAUCAAGGAUCAGCAGAAACUCUGCAGAACGGUGGUCCUCCAGCCCAGAACUGGACACCAGUGUUAUGCUGCAGAAAAAACAGCCAGGCUAAAGCAUUCAAAGUGGAAACAUCUGCUGUGGCUCAUUAAUCCAGAAUUGGGAUGGAGGAAGGAGCAGAAGAAGCAGCAGAUCAGAGAUCAGGCAGAGAUGGUGUCCCUGUGGGAAACCAUUUACCAAACGUGUCAGUUAAACCAAAGAUUUUCAUCACUCACCUUUAUGUUGUUCCAAGCCAGACUUUUGUUCAUCUUUGAAACAUAAAUGCAGAACUUUUUAAUGAAAUCUGAGAAUUUUUUUUUUAUAUAAAAUAACGCAUUCACACAAGCACCAUGAUGCAUCAGUGUUGCAUUGGCGUGAGAGCUGGCGCUUUUUGGUGCUUUUGUGAAAAUCCAUUGGGGAAUCAUAAUUUCUGAAUAGAUUAUUUUUGCUGUUGUUGUUUUUUGCGUACACAAGGCAUCUGUUAAAAACAUAUCUUCAUUUGUGUUCUGCAACAUGGUUUGCUGCAACAUGAGGGUAAGGAAAUAAUGACAGAAUUUACAUUUUUGGUUGUUCUAAUGUGGUUACAAUUGGUCAUAGUUUAUUGUCUUGAAAAAUUAUAUUAAAACAGAAAGAUGGAUUAAUUUGAUAAGUUUAUAGUAAAGACUUUUAAAUCUAAAUAAAUACUACUCUUUUGCAAGGUCAAUUAAAAAAUACUGACAAAUGUAAUGGUUCCCACAAAAUAUUGGGCUGCACAACUGUUUUAAACAUUGAUAAUAAUCAGAAAUGUUUCUUGAGCAGCAAAUGAUUUAAUCAAAGGAGGCUAAAGAUGUGAUCAAGAAUUAACAUGAAAGAUGUAAUGCGUCAAUAAAUGUGUCAAUAUACUGUGAAUUGUCUUUAUUUUCACUAAUUAGGAAUAUGAAAAAUAAUUCACGGUUGUAAUUAGGUCUGGAAAAGACGUCUUUUCACCUUUCACUUUUCAACCACAUUUAAACGUAAUUUGGACGUCUGUUUAUAGACGUCUUUCGACGACCUGAAAAAGACGUCUUUUCACCUUUCACAUUUCAACAAAAUUUUUACGUUGUUUAGACGUCUGCCAAUGACGUCUUUUUAACGAGUUUUUAGAUCAGUUAAGAUCAGCC